AACGAACGCUGGCGGCGUGCCUAACACAUGCAAGUCGAGCGCGAAUAGGGGCAACCCUUAGUAGAGCGGCGCACGGGUGCGUAACACGUGGAUAAUCUGCCUGGAUGCCCGGGAUAACCAGUCGAAAGAUUGGCUAAUACCGGAUAAGCCCACGGUUUCUUCGGAGACUGAGGGAAAAGGUGGCCUCUGUAUACAAGCUAUCACAACCAGAUGAGUACGCGGCCCAUCAGCUAGUUGGCGGGGUAAUGGCCCACCAAGGCGACGACGGGUAGCUGGGCGGAGAGGACGAUGAGCCAACCUGGAACUGGGACACGGUCCAGACUCCUACGGGAGGCAGCAGUGGGGAAUUUUGCGCAAGGGGCGAAAGCCUGACGCAGCAACGCCGCGUGUGUGAUGAAGGUCUUCGGAUUGUAAAGCACUUUCGACCGGGACGAAAACCCGUAGCCUAACAUGCUACGGCUUGACGGUACCGGGAGAAGAAGCACCGGCUAACUCUGUGCCAGCAGCCGCAGUAACAC
rnacentral:rRNA from 1 species